AGCUUGCUAAUUUCAUUCUUAGUGGCGGACGGGUUAGUAACACGUGAGAUACAUACCCUUUAGACAGGAAUAGCCCAUGGAAACGUGGAUUAAUGCCUGAUAGACUCUACGGAGUAAAGGAUGCCUUCGGGUAUCGCUAAAGGAUUGGCUCGCGGCCUAUCAGCUUGUUGGUGAGGUAAAGGCUCACCAAGGCGACGACGGGUAGCUGGUCUGAGAGGACGAUCAGCAACACUGGAACUGAGACACGGUCCAGACACCUACGGGUGGCAGCAGUCGAGAAUCAUUCACAAUGGAGGCAACUCUGAUGGUGCAACGCCGCGUGGAGGAUGACGGUCCUAGGAUUGUAAACUCCUGUCAUUGGGGAGUAAGACUUAAGCGUUAAUAGCGCCUUAAGUUUGAUAGUACCCAAAGAGGAAGGGACGGCUAACUUCGUGCCAGCAGCCGCGGUAAUACGAAGGUCCCAAGCGUUGUUCGGAAUAACUGGGCGUAAAGCGUGUGUAGGCUGCGCGGAAAGUCAAAUGUG
rnacentral:rRNA from 1 species